AUGGACCAAGUAACUAAUUUUCUAAAUGAGACUAGGGAGGAUCUCAGAUGCUCAAUGGCCAAAGAUGCAGCAGCUAUCAAGAAUGAGAGCUUGCUUGUUGACAAUGAUGGAAAGGGCAAAGAGACGUCUGAAAAUCUUACUGAAGGGCAAACAGUAGUUCUGCCGGUGCAAGAUAUAUCACUAGAUUUUCAGAGGAAGAUUACUGUUUCCAAACAUGAAAUGCAAAGAGACGU
rnacentral:misc_RNA from 1 species